UUUUUGUUAAUAUUGCACAUUGCUGCUAUCUGCCAGAUGGAUUUUUUUCGUCAAAAUAUAAUUUAUAUAGAUGAAUUAAUUUAAUCAUGAUAUGAAUAAGAACAAAUCACAAAAAUAAAGGAUAUAUAUUUGUCUUAGUAUUGCCAUAUUACCCACUUUCAGCUAACGGACAUGAAGUUUAUGUAACAAUCAAAUGAUUUUCAUUUUUGAUAAAGACGAUAUACAUUUAUUUCGACAUUACGUCGGCCAAAUUUAUCACAAUAGUCUUAAAAAGGUUAAACCACAAUGAAAUAUUUAUAAAACAACUCGACGGUUUUCUUAAAGAAUCAUAAUUAGUAUUAUAUAAUUAUCAAUAACCACAACAUAAACCAAACAAUAAUUAACGAUCGAACCAAU
rnacentral:lncRNA from 1 species